GGGCUCCUGUUCCAUUCUUCCCGGGACCGUCCAGGGGGAGGGCCUCUAACCCGACUGCGCCUCGCACCUGUCCCCGCACCUCUCCAUCGAGGGGCUCUGGCCCCGCCCCCGAACCUGCCGGCCACUUUUCGGACCCGGCGACCCCACUUUUGCCCCCGCUACCUUUGGUCUCAGAUUUCUGCAGCCAGAUGCCGAAAGGGAAAGAGAAAUAUGCUGAUUGACAAGCAUCUGCCUCCUGGAGGGCUGGGCACCAGGCUGGCAGGAAGCCAGCUGCUUGGGGGCCUCAUGUGGCCACCUCUGCCACCCCACCCCACCCCACCCCCCGGAAAACGAGCUCUGGAAGUGUUGUACGUGCAAAGCCCAGAAUAAAGUGCCAGGCACAGCGACACACAGACCAGCAGCAGACUUGACAUGCAUCAUGAUGUGGGAAGCCUGCUGUCAACUGGUGCCAGAAGAGGCACCUGGCCUGGUCAGCAGGGCCCUGGGCUGGAUCACAGAGAUGAUCCUUGCCUGAGUUUUAAAGAACGAGUGGGAACAAGCCAAAGGAAUAGGAGAAACAGCACUCCUGGCAGAGCAGGACAUGAGAAUUGUGACCCAGGUGGCAGGAGACGAGGCUGAGAGUGAGCAGGAAAGGUUUGGAGGAGGAGCUGGGCCUCUCCCUGCCCUAGAGUGGUGCGUCCCUCUGGGGAGAGCCUUCUGAGUCACCUUGCCCAGACCAGCAAACCCAGAGAGAGGCUGAUGUUAUAUUCAGCAUGCCUGUACUAUCUCUUUUUAAAUUUUUUUCACUGAAAAUGUUUGUGGGGUAGAAUUUGUUGUUUCAAGGGCUAUCUCUUUUCAGACUCAACAGAGCUUUGCUGAGCACCCACUGGAUGCAUUCACUGAAGCUCAGUCCUUUCUUUCCUCUUUAAUCUUUCAUUUCCUCAUAUAAAAUAAUUAAAGCCUUUUUCCUUCCCAGCGGUAACCCCGGGUACCA